GAGAAGAAUGAGAUUUUCAAAGUGGAGGGGUAACUAUGAACCAUGAAGAAACACUGGAGUCCAAACAAUGUUUCAACUCAAGGAUAUUUUUGAUAGAGCUGCUGUUGGACUUCAUGAAGUGUGCUGUUUUCAAUGUCUUCUCUCUUUCCAUUGACUCCAUCCACUUCCAGCUUAAUAUACACUUCUGGAUUCAGACAAGUGGAGAAGGAGAAAAACCAGUAUUUCUAGGCACAUUCUCUGUAGGGUGUGUGUGACUGGAAUUCACUUAUCAAGAUUCAGAUAGUAACAGAUUGGGGCCCUAGAAGGCCAUAGAGCUCUGUGCCUUUCAAUUGGAGGUCUACAGAUGCAGUUUUGGGAAUGAACAAUUCCCUGGCUCAGUACUGCCAAUAAUAGCCUAAUAGAAAUUGUACAGCUCCUGAAGCGAGGAUGAGCAAGGGUAUGGGCCAGUAGCUUAUUCUAGCCUUAAAAUACCAGCAGAAGUUAUGAAUAUCACUUUUGGACCAAGGAGUUUGAACACAUGAAUGUCUAUCUCCAACUACUUUCUGGAUGCAGAUUUAAAGACUAAGGUGUGAAAAUGCACCCCUGUGCAAACAACUGAGUUGCCUCCUGCUUGAUACCAAGAAUGCAAAAAUUAAUUCAAGAUUUCUUGGAAUUUAUUUUCACCAGUCUCUAGGAGAAUUGGAGGUAUUGGAAAGAACCAAAGCAUGAGAAGGUACUUGGCUUUGUGAAUGAUCACAGUUAACAGAAACUGAUUUUUGGUCAUUCUCGGCCUGAGACGAGCCUUCCCCACUCCCAUUGCUGGGUAAUGUGGGCAGGUGGGUGUAACGGGUUUUCAGCACUAACGGCCAUUCCUUGAGGCUGCCACAGUUUAAAAGUCAAUGUGAGAAAGGAGAGG